GAGGGUAUAGCUCAAGUGGUAGAGCACGUGCUUAGCAUGCACAGGGUCCUGGGUUCAAUCCCCAGUACCUCCU
rnacentral:tRNA from 1 species